ACUUAUCUCUUAAAAUCUGAUUUCUAGGGUAGUCAUUUUCUAAGAAACCAAUUUUACAGCUUCAAAAUUAUAUCCAAAAUCCUCCCAAAAUCAAAGUUACCAUAAAAUUCUUAAUCAAUUAGAUCUCUAUCAAGCUUCCACGAAUUUAGGAUCUGGGUUGUUAUGUCUAAACGAAAUAACACAAGGAUAAUCACAAGAGGAUAUACUGCUGCUAUGGAAUUACAUAAGAAGUCGAAAGAUGAAAUAGUAAGGACUCCUUCAAAAAGAAAAGGGUCAACGGUGAAAGCGAUUCAAAAAAAUUGUUACAAGAGGAGGAAAGUAAAAAAUGUAGUUUCCGACAUGAUCGGAGAACAUGCAGUUAAUGAAGAACAAGACGAAGUCAGUGAAGAAUUAAAGGGUAUCAGAUUCCAUGUAUUGGCUCGCCCAAUUAAACCACCA